rnacentral:rRNA from 1 species
UGGGGAAUUUUGGACAAUGGGCGCAAGCCUGAUCCAGCCAUGCCGCGUGCGGGAAGAAGGCCUUCUGGUUGUAAACCGCUUUUGUCAGGGAAGAAAUCUUCUGAGUUAAUACCUCGGGAGGAUGACGGUACCUGAAGAAUAAGCACCGGCUAACUACGUGCCAGCAGCCGCGGUAAUACGUAGGGUGCAAGCGUUAAUCGGAAUUACUGGGCGUAAAGCGUGCGCAGGCGGUUUUGUAAGACAGAGGUGAAAUCCCCGGGCUCAACCUGGGAACUGCCUUUGUGACUGCAAGGCUUGAGUGCGGCAGAGGGGGGAUGGAAUUCCGCGUGUAGCAGUGAAAUGCGUAGAUAUGCGGAGGAACACCGAUGGCGAAGGCAAUCCCCUGGGCCUGCACUGACGCUCAUGCACGAAAGCGUGGGGAGCAAACAGGAUUAGAUAGCCCUGGUAGUCCACGCCCUAAAACGAUGUCAACUGGUUGUUGGGAAGGUUCCUUCUCAGUAACGUAGCUAACGCGUGAAGUUGACCGCCUGGGGAGUAGGGCCGCAAGGUUGAAACUCAAAGG